GUUCUCAGGCCCUGAGGGGUGAGAAUCAGCGCCCUCCCAGACGAUUUGCUCUUUGCUGUGUUGCCCGGGCCAGGCCCACCUGCAUCUGAAGCCCAGGUGAAGCCAGAUCGACCCUUGUGCUGGGUCCACGAUGCAGACUUCCAGGAUUCACCUGUUCUAGACCACACUUUGAAAGGCAGAAGCGGGGCUUAUGCUGGGAUCCAGGGAGGCGCUGCAGAUGGGAGACGCCACCUGCCCAUCAAAGGAGUUUACAUUUAUUUGGGAACAGGUGAGACACAAUUUUUCAAAUUCUUAAAAUUAAAAAAAAUGUUAUUGGUUUUUAGGGUAACAGAACAGGAGGGGAUCAAGUGAAAAAUAAAAUUCUCCUCCCCUACAAUACCCUCAAGUACAGUCUAAGGGAUGGGAUUUAAAAUACUGGGGGUUCCCCUAUCCUUCCCUUCCCUUGGUGGGAUGAGAUUGGGGCUACUGGUUGGCAUCACGCCAUGGUGGCAUCUCUUAGGAACAUGAGAAAUGCCAGGUCCUUCAUGACACAGCUUUUCACAAGUACCCAUGUGUGUAAGUACACACACACACACACACACACACACACACACAAUUUAUGCUGCAGGUACAGCCGCUGGUGUAUCCCUGGUGUAUCAGGCACUGAUGUGCUGCUCAUAACUAUGGCCUUUGGGACCCUUCACUGUCUUGUUCUCAGCAACUCAGGUGGGGGCAUUUCAGGCACAAGAGAAGGAUAAACAAAACUUGGCCAACAGGGGAGAUGUCUGAGGGGAAAGAUGAACAGAUAGGCCAGGCUCAUUCCUUUGUUUAUUCAAUGAUUGAGUCCUUCUUCUAGCAUUUACAGUGGUGUUUAUCUUGUAUGCAUUUAAUUGACAGUCAUGUAAUGAUUCACGC
rnacentral:lncRNA from 10 species